rnacentral:sRNA from 1 species
AAAAUUAUGUACAAAUUUAAAUCAUUUAACUUUUUACAUCAACACAUUUUUUUUCCCUUUGCAUUUUGGUCCCCUGUUGGUUGUUUCCCGGGCGCAACGAACGCCUCCGCACCACGGUUGCUAGGCCACUACAUCCUACCUGUGUUAACAGACGAGAGAAACUGAAUUGAGGAAAGAUUUUAUUUUGACGAGUAUUUGGACAUGAUGUCUGUCCACGUACAUCCGCAAGCCCUACUCACUGCCACUAAAUCAAUUGAAACACGUGACAGUAAACAAUUGAAUUGGAAAAGAAAAAGAAAACUCCUCAGUAUUAUUUCUACAGGUAGCAAGUCACUUGACGUUUCUCUGUACACCUGGACCUGUCCACUACUUAGCCAGCCCCCAUCUCUUCUAGUGUGUCAGCACGUGCGAGGUAACACGCUAUCCCAAUGACAGCCCCGACUUCCACAUAGAAUCUAAACAGUCAGUUGCUGGAACAAAUUCAAUAAAGAAAUCUUCUAUGGCGCGACCACAUCAAUGUGCACGCAAUGUCAUUUUCAUAUUUAUGAUACGUUUAAAAAAAUGAAUUUAAUUAAUUGUAAGAUUAACCUUCAUUUGUGAAAAAUACUAUUUAAAAACAACAACACUUUAUUAAUAUGUUCAAGUGCGCCGAUAUUUUAUAGAUCUUUAUAUUGC